GGCCCCAUCGUCUAGUGGUCCAGGACACCAGAUUCUCAUUCUGGGAACUUGGGUUCGAGUCCCAAUGGGGUCACCA
rnacentral:tRNA from 3 species